rnacentral:rRNA from 1 species
AAAUUGAAGAGUUUGAUCAUGGCUCAGAUUGAACGCUGGCGGCAGGCCUAACACAUGCAAGUCGGGCGGUAGCACGGGAGAGCUUGCUCUCUGGGUGACGAGCGGCGGACGGGUGAGUAAUGUCUGGGAAACUGCCUGAUGGAGGGGGAUAACUACUGGAAACGGUAGCUAAUACCGCAUAACCUCGCAAGAGCAAAGAGGGGGACCUUCGGGCCUCUCGCCAUCAGAUGUGCCCAGAUGGGAUUAGCUAGUAGGUGAGGUAAUGGCUCACCUAGGCGACGAUCCCUAGCUGGUCUGAGAGGAUGACCAGCCACACUGGAACUGAGACACGGUCCAGACUCCUACGGGAGGCAGCAGUGGGGAAUAUUGCACAAUGGGCGCAAGCCUGAUGCAGCCAUGCCGCGUGUGUGAAGAAGGCCUUCGGGUUGUAAAGCACUUUCAGCGGGGAGGAAGGCGGUGAGGUUAAUAACCUCAUCGAUUGACGUUACCCGCAGAAGAAGCACCGGCUAACUCCGUGCCAGCAGCCGCGGUAAUACGGAGGGUGCAAGCGUUAAUCGGAAUGACUGGGCGUAAAGCGCACGCAGGCGGUCUGUUAAGUUGGAUGUGAAAUCCCCGGGCUUAACCUGGGAACUGCAUUCAAAACUGACAGGCUAGAGUCUUGUAGAGGGGGGUAGAAUUCCAGGUGUAGCGGUGAAAUGCGUAGAGAUCUGGAGGAAUACCGGUGGCGAAGGCGGCCCCCUGGACAAAGACUGACGCUCAGGUGCGAAAGCGUGGGGAGCAAACAGGAUUAGAUACCCUGGUAGUCCACGCUGUAAACGAUGUCGAUUUGGAGGUUGUGCCCUUGAGGCGUGGCUUCCGGAGCUAACGCGUUAAAUCGACCGCCUGGGGAGUACGGCCGCAAGGUUAAAACUCAAAUGAAUUGACGGGGGCCCGCACAAGCGGUGGAGCAUGUGGUUUAAUUCGAUGCAACGCGAAGAACCUUACCUACUCUUGACAUCCAGAGAACUUAGCAGAGAUGCUUUGGUGCCUUCGGGAACUCUGAGACAGGUGCUGCAUGGCUGUCGUCAGCUCGUGUUGUGAAAUGUUGGGUUAAGUCCCGCAACGAGCGCAACCCUUAUCCUUUGUUGCCAGCGAUUCGGUCGGGAACUCAAAGGAGACUGCCGGUGAUAAACCGGAGGAAGGUGGGGAUGACGUCAAGUCAUCAUGGCCCUUACGAGUAGGGCUACACACGUGCUACAAUGGCGUAUACAAAGAGAAGCGACCUCGCGAGAGCAAGCGGACCUCAUAAAGUACGUCGUAGUCCGGAUUGGAGUCUGCAACUCGACUCCAUGAAGUCGGAAUCGCUAGUAAUCGUAGAUCAGAAUGCUACGGUGAAUACGUUCCCGGGCCUUGUACACACCGCCCGUCACACCAUGGGAGUGGGUUGCAAAAGAAGUAGGUAGCUUAACCUUCGGGAGGGCGCUUACCACUUUGUGAUUCAUGACUGGGGUGAAGUCGUAACAAGGUAACCGUAGGGGAACCUGCGGUUGGAUCACCUCCUUACCAAGAAG